rnacentral:tRNA from 2 species
GGAGAGAUGUCCGAGAGGCCGAAGGAGCUCGCCUGCUAAGCGAGUAUGGGGGCUUAAACCUCCAUCCAGGGUUCAAAUCCCUGUCUCUCCGCCA